rnacentral:rRNA from 1 species
GUCGAGCGAACAGAUAAGGAGCUUGCUCCUUUGACGUUAGCGGCGGACGGGUGAGUAACACGUGGGUAACCUACCUAUAAGACUGGGAUAACUUCGGGAAACCGGAGCUAAUACCGGAUAACAUUUGGAACCGCAUGGUUCUAAAGUGAAAGAUGGUUUUGCUAUCACUUAUAGAUGGACCCGCGCCGUAUUAGCUAGUUGGUAAGGUAACGGCUUACCAAGGCGACGAUACGUAGCCGACCUGAGAGGGUGAUCGGCCACACUGGAACUGAGACACGGUCCAGACUCCUACGGGAGGCAGCAGUAGGGAAUCUUCCGCAAUGGGCGAAAGCCUGACGGAGCAACGCCGCGUGAGUGAUGAAGGGUUUCGGCUCGUAAAACUCUGUUAUUAGGGAAGAACAAAUGUGUAAGUAACUGUGCACGUCUUGACGGUACCUAAUCAGAAAGCCACGGCUAACUACGUGCCAGCAGCCGCGGUAAUACGUAGGUGGCAAGCGUUAUCCGGAAUUAUUGGGCGUAAAGCGCGCGUAGGCGGUUUCUUAAGUCUGAUGUGAAAGCCCACGGCUCAACCGUGGAGGGUCAUUGGAAACUGGGAAACUUGAGUGCAGAAGAGGAAAGUGGAAUUCCAUGUGUAGCGGUGAAAUGCGCAGAGAUAUGGAGGAACACCAGUGGCGAAGGCGACUUUCUGGUCUGUAACUGACGCUGAUGUGCGAAAGCGUGGGGAUCAAACAGGAUUAGAUACCCUGGUAGUCCACGCCGUAAACGAUGAGUGCUAAGUGUUAGGGGGUUUCCGCCCCUUAGUGCUGCAGCUAACGCAUUAAGCACUCCGCCUGGGGAGUACGACCGCAAGGUUGAAACUCAAAGGAAUUGACGGGGACCCGCACAAGCGGUGGAGCAUGUGGUUUAAUUCGAAGCAACGCGAAGAACCUUACCAAAUCUUGACAUCCUUUGAAAACUCUAGAGAUAGAGCCUUCCCCUUCGGGGGACAAAGUGACAGGUGGUGCAUGGUUGUCGUCAGCUCGUGUCGUGAGAUGUUGGGUUAAGUCCCGCAACGAGCGCAACCCUUAAGCUUAGUUGCCAUCAUUAAGUUGGGCACUCUAGGUUGACUGCCGGUGACAAACCGGAGGAAGGUGGGGAUGACGUCAAAUCAUCAUGCCCCUUAUGAUUUGGGCUACACACGUGCUACAAUGGACAAUACAAAGGGCAGCUAAACCGCGAGGUCAUGCAAAUCCCAUAAAGUUGUUCUCAGUUCGGAUUGUAGUCUGCAACUCGACUACAUGAAGCUGGAAUCGCUAGUAAUCGUAGAUCAGCAUGCUACGGUGAAUA